GCACGUACAUACGUCACAUCCGGGAACGAGGACCGCUCCUUCGAAGCGUGUUCGGCGUAGGUUGGGACACCCUAGCGUAGGUGCACAGCAGGUGUUCUGUGGCUCGGCUGGCUCAGCGUGCUACAAACUGGUAGGUGUUCUGUGGUGCUACUCGUACAGGUGCCGCUGAGCUGUGGACAGGUAAAAGGAAGGUGUGCGGUUGACCAGCUGCUACCAUGAUAUCCUUGAUUCAGCGCUCGGCAACAAUGCCUAGCAUUGCACGCCUGCUUAAUUCCACAUCAUGCACAGCCACGCGGAAAUUCAGCGCUCUUUCUGCAAGUGCCAGCCAACAGAAGAAAGCUUCUACUCUACCUCUUGUAACAGAAACACCAUUGCAAGUUGCAGUGCGGACAUUUAAAGACUUGGAUGUUCUUACAAAACGAUGCAAAGACUGCUACUUCAAGAAAGGAGAUGAUCGUUGGUAUGUCCUAUGCAAGACGCAUGGAAGACACAAGCAGAGACAGCGUCUACCUGAUGAGCGUCACUUCUGGAUAGUAACACACAAGACUCAUGGCCCAAGAAAAAAUUUUUAGAUUGACAAAGCAAUGUAAUGAAAUUUGAAUUAAACCUGGUAUUUGCUUCAAGUAUUACAACCAUA